rnacentral:lncRNA from 1 species
AUUCAAUACAAACAGGCUUUCCUUGUCUCUAAGGAGAGAAAGUCUAGCAGAUAUGAUUCAGAGCCAUCAGAAAUUUGAUGACCUCAUAUCUGCACUCCUAGAAAGGGUUCGGCUCUGCCAUUCACCCAAAGGGCUAAGCCACCGGCACACCUGAGGUUAAGCCAAUAAAACACAGUAAUUCCUUCAUCAACUCACCACAGCAGAAAAACAGCUCCCUUUUGC